CAGAAGCCGAAAAUUUGUGUGCGUGGUUACCGGUGCAAACACCUCGUCGUAAUCUUCACCGUAGAUCUGCGAAAAACCCUGCGCUACCAGCCAUGCCUUAUAUUUGGUUACCUCUCCUAAAGCAUUGUGUUUCAACUUAUAAACCCAACGGCAACCAACAGGCUUUCGGUUCUCAGACCAUAGCAUCUUUAAAGUUCUUCGGUUCUACCGCGACAGUUCCGGCUACGAAACUGUCUCUUGUCUCUUCUAUCAACCUACUUGCCGGAAUGCCCUUCGUAGAGCGUCGGGAGCGCCUGGCUAUUUCAUCAAGAAGAUAGCCCUGAAAUGAAGAAUCAUCAUCAGAAGCACUAGCAUAGGGCAGCACAUCCGAAUUUUCAGAAUCGUCCAGCUCCAAAUCCAACUCAAUCGAAGGUGAAACUAGCGGUACGUCAAAGGAAGAUUUUGUUGCAACAGACUGCUCAGGUACGGUUUCCUUCACAAAGCUUUGUUCGAGAAACUUCGCAUCUCUGCUGAUGGUGACGAGUCCCGACUGCACAUUCAAGAAGCGAUAUGCUUUUCGUCCCUCUGCGUAGCCCACAAAAACUAGCUUCUCUAACUUGCGAUCCAGAGCUUUGCGUUUUACCUUCGGAACAUCGAUUUUGCAAAUAGUUCGCCGUAUUGAUAGCCUCCCCCCAGAACUUUUUCUCCAAGCCCGAGUCAGCCAACAUGCAACGCAUCAUCUCUUUUAGAUAACGGUUUUUCCGCUCAGCCACACCGUUUUGUUGCGGUGAAUACGGUGCCGUCAUUUGAUGCUCAAUGCCACAAUCUGCGAAAAACUUUUUCAAAACACGACCAGAAUACUCACCACCCCCAUCCGACCGGAUGCACUUGGGAUAGUGACCAAAAUGGUUUUUAACCAUGUUACAAUAUUCACGUAUCUUUUCUUCGGCAUCUGAUUUGCGCUGCAGCAAAUAAAUCACCGAAUAUCGACUAAAAUCAUCCACUAGGAUCAUAUAGUAAAAGCUUUCUCGCGGAGUGGCCACUUCCAUUGGACCACCUAAAUCGCACUUGAAUCUCGAUGCCCCAGACGACGAUGCCACAAAUGCUCGCAUAAACCACUGUGUUUCGUUUCGGUCACCAGCGCCUUCUCUGGAAACUGCUUCAAGUAGUAAAGACCACCUUUCCUUUGUCCAAGCAAAACCACGUCACUUCCAUUGAAAAUUUUGCAUCCAGACUUUUCAAACAGUACAGAGAGUCCGAGGUCUGCAAUCUUGCUCACCGAAAGUAGAUUGCUCAGUACAUGAAAAACAUUUUCUAAACCUACUUUCACUUGAGCACCUUUCCCGUUGACGCAAUAAAUUUUACUUGAGCCAUCACCAACUGAUUCACAGUAUUCCCAUCGGCCAAACAAAUGAUCGUCUCUCUAGAUCGGUCAAGCUCA